AGUCAAUCUUCAUACGCACCCCCUCUCCCCACCCCGUAGGCAUUGAGAAGCUGCCAUGAGGUUCCUCUGCACUCUGAACAAACAUCUUUCUCCCCAGCUUCUCUUCUCUGAGUGGGAGCUUCAGCCCCCUGCACAGGCUGGAGGUCAUCCACAGAGUUUGUUUCAGGUUGUUAUCCUUCCUGGCCAAAAACCAGAUACAGUAUUGUAGAUGUGGUGCAAUGAGUGUUGAAGCAGGAAUGACUUGUCCUGGUCUGGUUGUGCUGCUUUUUAAUGCAGCUGAUGAUCUUGUUGUACUUCUUUUCUGUCAGAGCACACUGCUGGCUUGCAUUCAGCCUGUGGUCUCUCACCACUUGUCCUCCUAGUCCCCAGGUCCUUUCCAACAGAUACAAGCUAGUAUUUCCCACCUGGGAUAUUGGAAGAUGGGAACUUGCCAGCAGUCAGUGAAGAUCUCUGAGACAGCGAGAGCGAGCGAGCUUUGAGUAGACUGGGAACCACUGUCCACAGCAGGAAAUAAGAGAAAAGAUGUUUCCUUGGGCACUUGGGUGGAAAUCAUUCCUGACUGCUUUCUCAUCCACCGGGAAAAUCUGCUGAUUGACAAUUUGAAGCUGAUAGACUUUGGACUCUGUGCAAAGCCAAAGGCGGAUAUUUGGAGCAUGGGUGUACUGCUGUAUGCUCUGCUGUGUGGGUUUUCCCUUUGGAUGAUGACAAUAUGAUGGCACUCUACAGGAGGAUACCAGUGGGUAUCAGUGGUGCUAGAAUACACUGAGAAGGGAAAUAGCUGAGCUUGACAAGAGGCCUUGCUUUUCGGAUGGCAGAACAUGCUGAGCUGACAGCAGAAAACCCUUUGUGCUAAUCAUGAUGCCAAGAAGCAGAAUGCGGCAGAUGAUCCAACUGCUUCAGCUGGGACACCUUGAUGAAGACUGUGUAACAGCUUUCUGUGUUUCACAACAAGAGAAGAGAGAGUAGAUCAGCAUUAACAUCAGAGCCUUUCUGUUAUAUUUUACCAUGCUGAAAUCCUAGGUACAGGGAAUAAAGAGAACAAUCGACCUACAAGGGGAAAAAGUUCUUCAGUUCAAGUCUGUGAUAUUUUCACAGUCUUAAUUCAAAGGACUUCUAAUGCCUGAUAAGUAAUUCAAGCUUAUUAUACUACACUGAGUCUGUCAAGCAUUGUACCCACGGUUCUCAUAGUAGUCAAAAAGCUGCUGAAAAUCCAGCUGAAUGUCGAUGCUCCUUGGAGCUGGGCUGAAACUUGCCCCCAGAAAUGGGAGUCCAGCUGAAAUGCUGUACAAACUGAAUUAGUAGGAGCUUUGCCAUUCACUUCAGUAGAGAGAUUCUGGCACCAGCUUUAGUUUUCACUUCCAGCAAUUGUACAAUACACUAACUUUCAAGCAAAAACGAGAAUAGUCUGCUUCUUUAUCUCAGACAUAUUGUGUGAAUCAGCUGAGGCCUGAAACUACCCUAAUGUGAUCAGACGUGAAGGUUGCACAUCAAGGGGAAAAUAUGGCAGACAUGCAGAAAUUUUCUUUGUACUGACAAUGUUUCUGAAGAGAUCUAAAUCCUCUUGUUUUCUAGCGGAAUUACGACCAGUUGUGGCAACCUAUCUCUUGCUUCAGUCUAAGAAGGCUCGUGGCAAGCACAUUCCCUUGAGAUUUCCAUCCCAAACAGGACGUGCCAGUACCACACAGUCAGGAAGCCUGGGGAACACAGUCCUGGAGAGGAUUUGCUUUCCUUGUUUCCUGGAGACUUGGAUUCUUAGAUGGUUUUGACUGCAG